rnacentral:lncRNA from 1 species
ACGACGACUCGAGUGCCGUGGCUCAGGAACGCCAGGAUCGCUACUUUGCUAUCGGAAAAGGUAGUAUCAGAUGGGUGGAUUAAUAUACGCAUCCAGUUGAUGAUGAAUAGGCUCGUAGCAAAAUAAAACUAGCGUGAUCCGUCCAAUCGCAUGAACUAGCUUUAAGCGCCACGAAAGUAAACUCAGCGUCCACUUGGUGGAGAUGGAUACAGCCUUGCUGGAAACUGGCAGGCCGUACCAGGUUUCGGAAUCGCACGGUUCCGCCUUUGAAGCUACUGUCAGCG